CCAAUAGCGUAUAUUAAAGUUGUUGCAGUUAAAAAGCUCGUAGUUGAACUUCGGGGUUCACCCAUUGGUCAGGCUUAACUGUCUGCACUGGUGAGAUGAAUCUCUACCUUCUGAGGAACUUUCAUGCCAUUUAUUUGGUGUGAUGGGAAAUCAGGACUGUUACUUUGAAAAAAUUAGAGUGUUUAAAGCAGGCUAACGUCUGAAUACAUUAGCAUGGAAUAAUGAAAUAGGACGGACUGGUUCUAUUUUGUUGGUUUCUAGGAUCACCGUAAUGAUUAAUAGGGAUAGUUGGGGGCAUUAGUAUUCAAUUGUCAGAGGUGAAAUUCUUGGAUUUAUUGAAGACUAACUACUGCGAAAGCAUUUGCCAAGGAUGUUUUCAUUAAUCAAGAACGAAAGUUAGGGGAUCGAAGACGAUCAGAUACCGUCGUAGUCUUAACCAUAAACUAUGCCGACUAGGGAUCGGACGAAGUUAAUUUUAUAAUGACGCGUUCGGCACCUUACG
rnacentral:rRNA from 1 species